AAAGAACGGCUGGCUGCCUCGGGGAAGACAAGUAGUUGGGAAUGGCUGGAGUGCAGAAUCCUACAGUGAGGGACGUGGGGGAAGGAGAGAGAAGGGAGCACUGAGAGAAGCAAGGGAGCAGAACAGAACACUCUUCUGACUUCCAAUUUAAAAAUACUGUAAACACCAUGACAAUCAGAGAGGACCAGAACUUGCCAAGACAGUGUCAGAGAAAGCCACUGGUGGACUGGAAGAACAUGAUCGUUGACCACACUUGUGGGAGGAAUGCUCCAGGUUUAUCAGGGCUAACAAACUGGACUCCUGGGCAUAACUUUGAGAAUACGGCCUAUCUAAUUAGCAGCUCCUGGUGAAGGAAAUUCUGCAAAGACAAGAGGAAGGGAAGGCCUACUGGUGCAGAUGUGAAAGAAAGUGGAAUUUCAAGUGGUAAAGCCAUUUAGGAAGAAAAUUUUAAAUAAAGUUGGGGACUAAAAACCUUGAAAUAAUAUUGAACCUACUGUUUUGUCCAGUAGGGGUACUUGUGUUAACACUUAAAAUUUGCAACCCUUCUGUUCCCUUUCCUGUUAGAAUACUAACCAGUAACAAAUAAAAGUUGGUCUUCCAUUGUGUGCACCCCAAAGGAGAUAUUUCUGUGACAGCCUCCUUCAGAAAUGAGUGCUGUGUCCGAUAAAA